rnacentral:lncRNA from 1 species
UUUGAGGGUUUUAUCGACUAUUUCCCCUCGCCUCUCCCAUAGAGGCACCUAAAUAAAACUUGGUGGCGACUCUUCUGAUUUUACUUUCUCUCUUUGAUUAAGGAGGCAUCCAUUAAUUCAAUGUCCCGGUUUUUGUUAUUGUGAAAUCCCGGUAGUGACAACUAGCGACUCUGCGGGAGAACCGAUUUUCCCUAAGCGAGUCUAACCUAGUUUGGG